ACUUGCCUUUGCGAGGGGGAUAACAGUUGGAAACGACUGCUAAUACCGCAUAAUGUCUUCGGACCAAACGGGGCUUCGGCUCCGGCGCAAAGAGAGGCCCAAGUGAGAUUAGCUAGUUGGUGAGGUAAAGGCUCACCAAGGCAACGAUCUCUAGCUGUUCUGAGAGGAAGAUCAGCCACACUGGGACUGAGACACGGCCCAGACUCCUACGGGAGGCAGCAGUGGGGAAUAUUGCACAAUGGGGGAAACCCUGAUGCAGCCAUGCCGCGUGUGUGAAGAAGGCCUUCGGGUUGUAAAGCACUUUCAGUUGUGAGGAAAAGUUAGUAGUUAAUACCUGCUAGCCGUGACGUUAACAACAGAAGAAGCACCGGCUAACUCCGUGCCAGCAGCCGCGGUAAUACGGAGGGUGCGAGCGUUAAUCGGAAUUACUGGGCGUAAAGCGCACGCAGGCGGUUUGUUAAGCUAGAUGUGAAAGCCCCGGGCUCAACCUGGGACGGUCAUUUAGAACUGGCAGACUAGAGUCUUGGAGAGGGGAGUGGAAUUCCAGGUGUAGCGGUGAAAUGCGUAGAUAUCUGGAGGAACAUCAGUGGCGAAGGCGACUCCCUGGCCAAAGACUGACGCUCAUGUGCGAAAGUGUGGGUAGCGAACAG
rnacentral:rRNA from 1 species